UGGGGAAUCUUGCACAAUGGGGGCAACCCUGAUGCAGCGACGCCGCGUGAGCGAUGAAGCCCUUCGGGGCGUAAAGCUCUUUCGACCGGAACGAUAAUGACGGUACCGGGAGAAGAAGCUGCGGCUAACUACGUGCCAGCAGCCGCGGUAAUGCGUAGGGGGCAAGCGUUGUCCGGAUUUACUGGGUGUAAAGGGUGCUCAGGCGGAUUUGUAAGUCAGAGGUGAAAUCUUACAGCUUAACUGUGAAACUGCCUUUGAUACUGCAAGCCUAGAGUAUGGAAGAGAGUGAUGGAAUAUCUGGUGUAGCAGUGAGAUGCGUAGAUAUCAGAUAGAACACCAAUGGCGAAGGCAGUCACUUGGUCCAUUACUGACGCUAAAGCACGAAAGCGUGGGUAGCAAACA
rnacentral:rRNA from 1 species